rnacentral:rRNA from 1 species
GACAGAGGUCCCGAGCGUUAGGCGGAAUCCCUGGGCUUAAAGCGUGUGUAGGCGGAUGCCUAAGUACCUUGUGAAAUCCCACGGCUCACCCGUGGAACUGCUUGGUAUACUGGGUGUCUUGAGCCACUUAGGGGCUACCGGAACAAAUGGUGGGGCGGUGAAAUGCGUAGAUAUCAUUUGGAACGCCAAUGGUGAAAACAGGUAGCUGGGAGUGUGCUGACGCUGAGACACGAAAGCCAGGGGAGCAAACGGG